CAAACGGCCCUUUUCAGGGCCACUAAUUUGAAACGAGGAACAUCUU
rfam:Harpegnathos saltator strain R22 G/1 HarSal_1.0_2.contig457, whole genome shotgun sequence.